rnacentral:lncRNA from 1 species
UCAUCAUACAUAUCAAAUAGUCUUUGGGAAGACACUAUAAAAUCAAGACUCCAAAUACUCAUAGACUUGUAAGCCUUCAGUUCCAAGUCCAAUCCAAUGGCAACCUCAAUAGGUUGCAUAUAUUACUAUCUUUUGUUCCUUCUUUGGUUUCUCUCAAGUAUCACUUUCUUUGUGCAGAGUCACCUUGUGCUUCUACGUUGGAAACUAUUCCUUUUAGGUAACAUUCAUUACUUUGGUACUAGGAACAGACCAAUGUCUAGAUCUACAUCAUUUGCACAAUGUUGGGAUCAAUUCAUUAGCCCCAUAAUGAUAAUACCUCUUGGUUUUUAUACAAGUUUACCUACAACUCAGAUGCUUGCAUUUGCUUUAUAUUCUUAGCUAGUAAUAUUCAUUAUGUUAUGAAGAACUCUGUAUUUUUUUAAGUACUUUUAUUCCUUCCUAUAGUUGAAUGGUAUACCAAUUGUAACAAUAAUAGUGAGAUGUGUAAAUGUUAAAUCUCCAACCAAAAGAUAGAGGAUUUAGUUUAUUUACUGCAAAAAAGAAUAUUUUCUUUUUCAUUCAUUAAUCAUAUAUUUUGCUUCGUGUGAUGUACUAUGGUGUAGUUUAUCACAACUAAGGAUUAUGAAUUUGUGUUACUUUUAGAGAUCUCGAAAGACAUUUUAAUGGUAGCUAGAGAAUAUUGUGUUACUCAAUUUAUGUUUGGUUUCACGUUUAAUCAGUCAAAAUUGAUAUCAUAUAUAUAACUAAUUUUGAAGAGUCUAUAUUGAUGUCGGAUGUAAGUUUAAAGUUUUACAUUAAAUUUUACCUAUUGAUAAGAAUGAAUUAAAUGAUCAUUUAUUUUUCAUAAAAGAUUAAUAACUUUUUAGAGAAAAAAAA